rnacentral:rRNA from 1 species
UAACAGGAUUAGAUACCCUGGUAGUCCACCCCGUAAACGUUGGGAACUAGUUGUGGGGACCAUUCCACGGUUUCCGUGACGCAGCUAACGCAUUAAGUUCCCCGCCUGGGGAGUACGGCCGCAAGGCUAAAACUCAAAGGAAUUGACGGGGACCCGCACAAGCGGCGGAGCAUGCGGAUUAAUUCGAUGCAACGCGAAGAACCUUACCAAGGCUUGACAUAUACGAGAACGGGCCAGAAAUGGUCAACUCUUUGGACACUCGUAAACAGGUGGUGCAUGGUUGUCGUCAGCUCGUGUCGUGAGAUGUUGGGUUAAGUCCCGCAACGAGCGCAACCCUCGUUCUAUGUUGCCAGCACGUAAUGGUGGGAACUCAUGGGAUACUGCCGGGGUCAACUCGGAGGAAGGUGGGGAUGACGUCAAAUCAUCAUGCCCCUUAUGUCUUGGGCUUCACGCAUGCUACAAUGGCCGGUACAAAGGGCUGCAAUACCGUGAGGUGGAGCGAAUCCCAAAAAGCCGGUCCCAGUUCGGAUUGAGGUCUGCAACUCGACCUCAUGAAGUCGGAGUCGCUAGUAAUCGCAGAUCAGCAACGCUGCGGUGAAUACGUUCCCGGGUCUUGUACACACCGCCCGUCAAGUCAUGAAAGUCGGUAACACCUGAAGCCGGUGGCCCAACCCUUGUGGAGGGAGCCGUCGAAGGUGGGAUCGGUAAUUAGGACUAAGUCGUAACAAGGUAACCA